rnacentral:rRNA from 1 species
AGAGUUCGAUCCUGGCUCAGGAUGAACGCUGGCGGCGUGCCUAAUACAUGCAAGUCGAACGAGAUGCGUAUCGGAAAGCUUCGGCCGGAAGAUACGUUAUCUAGUGGCGGACGGGUGAGUAACACGUGGGUAACCUGCCUUAUGGAGGGGGAUAACAGAGAGAAAUCACUGCUAAUACCGCAUAAGCACACAGUACCGCAUGGUACAGGGUGAAAAGAUUUAUCGCCAUAAGAUGGACCCGCGUCUGAUUAGCCAGUUGGCAGGGUAAAAGCCUACCAAAGCAACGAUCAGUAGCCGAUCUGAGAGGAUGACCGGCCACAUUGGGACUGAGACACGGCCCAAACUCCUACGGGAGGCAGCAGUGGGGAAUAUUGGACAAUGGGGGAAACCCUGAUCCAGCGACGCCGCGUGAGUGAAGAAGUAUUUCGGUAUGUAAAGCUCUAUCAGCAGGGAAGAAAAUGACGGUACCUGACUAAGAAGCCCCGGCUAACUACGUGCCAGCAGCCGCGGUAAUACGUAGGGGGCAAGCGUUAUCCGGAUUUACUGGGUGUAAAGGGAGCGUAGACGGAAUGGCAAGUCUGAAGUGAAAUACCCGGGCUCAACCUGGGAACUGCUUUGGAAACUGUUGUUCUAGAGUGUUGGAGAGGUAAGUGGAAUUCCUGGUGUAGCGGUGAAAUGCGUAGAUAUCAGGAAGAACACCGGAGGCGAAGGCGGCUUACUGGACAAUAACUGACGUUGAGGCUCGAAAGCGUGGGGAUCAAACAGGAUUAGAUACCCUGGUAGUCCACGCUGUAAACGAUGAAUACUAGGUGUCGGGGUGCAAAGCAUCUCGGUGCCGUCGCUAACGCAAUAAGUAUUCCACCUGGGGAGUACGUUCGCAAGAAUGAAACUCAAAGGAAUUGACGGGGACCCGCACAAGCGGUGGAGCAUGU